GUUUUUAUUAUUUUUUUUUACCUUUUGAUAGUUUUAAGGUUAGUUAAGUAAUUUGUAUUAUAUUGAAUGAAUUAAAGAUGAGAUUUUUAUGGGAUUGUAUUUCACAUUCUGUCAACUAUAUUUAUUUUCUUUCGUCUAGGUUUUUAGUUUUCUGUUCUUAAUACUGAACAUUAGUUUUCUCUCAUAUUUUCUGUAAGUCUUCAUUUUCUUUCAUACGGCUAAUCUCAGUUCUUAUAGAAGCCAGUGGAAGCAAU
rnacentral:lncRNA from 1 species